rnacentral:piRNA from 1 species
CUGAGAAGCCAUCAGGAAUAGGGG